rnacentral:rRNA from 1 species
UACGAAGGGGGCUAGCGUUGUUCGGAAUUACUGGGCGUAAAGCGCGUGUAGGCGGGUCUUUAAGUCAGAGGGGAAAUGCCAAGGCUCAACCUUGGAACUGCCUUUGAUACUGGAGAUCUUGAGUCCGGGAGAGGUGAGUGGAAUUGCGAGUGUAGAGGUGAAAUUCGUAGAUAUUCGCAAGAACACCAGUGGCGAAGGCGGCUCACUGGCCCGGAACUGACGCUGAGACGCGAAAGCGUGGGGAGCAAACAGG